rnacentral:rRNA from 1 species
AGUUGGUGAGGUAAAGGCUCACCAAGGCGACGAUCUGUAGCUGGUCUGAGAGGAUGAUCAGCCACACUGGGACUGAGACACGGCCCAGACUCCUACGGGAGGCAGCAGUGGGGAAUAUUGCACAAUGGGCGCAAGCCUGAUGCAGCCAUGCCGCGUGUGUGAAGAAGGCUCUAGGGUUGUAAAGCACUUUCAGUAGGGAGGAAAAGCUUAAAACUAAUAAUUUUAAGCCUUGACGUUACCUACAG